UGAUCCCAAGAAUCAUUUUAUUUAAAGAUAAAGAUAAAUUAUUAUCAGCAAGUAAAAAGCCUUUAAAAAUUUGUCAGUGAACAGAACACUAGAGCAGAGAAGCUUUGGAAGCAAAAGUAUCAACACUCAAGAAAAAUCAGUCAAAACAAAAAAAAAAGGGUUAUAGUGUCAACAUUGAAGCUGAAAUAGCAAGAAGGAUAAAGAUCAUGGACAAAAGACAUUCCAAUCCAAAAACAAUAUUAGCCAUUUCCCAGGAAGAGGUGGCAUCGUCGCAUUGGAUCAACUUAAUAAACAGGUUGAAUUUUUAAUCCAGCUGAACCUUCAUGGAUGGGGUAGGCAAACAGAAGAAGCAGUCAGGGCCCAGUGCUGAGGGAAAGCUGGUGGUAUAAAAUGAAACAGUUCUGCUUUUGUUACUGGACACAAACACAGGUUCUUUAUCCACCACACAAGAGGGGCCAAAUAAAAACUGGAACACCAGGCUUAUAACAAGGAAAGCACUUUUAUUUCGGGUGACAUCAGCCAGGAGACAAGAUCAGCCCUCAAAUUCAUCUUGUCUCUCCGAAAGAUGGGAGGCAAGUGGUUUUUAAGAUAGCAAGGAAUGCAGCUGCAUGUGGAGAGGGGGAGCCUGUGGCCUUGCUGGUUGGUGCUUUCCCACCAGCCUGUUUGGCCCUGUGAGGGUGCUUGCCGGCAGGAAGAUGGUGAGAUAAGGAAAUCCGCAAGUGGGUGUCCUUGGUUGUCUGUCUCCAUGGUGGAUGGUGGACUCUGGUGCCAGGAAGCCGAGGAGUAAGCAGGGAGAGGGGCUGAGUGCUCUGCUAUAACCCCAUGUAUGCUGGGUUUAAUGCAGGGGAACUGGUAUCAGGGCCAGUAUCACUUCCACUGGAGUGACAAAAGUUCCUCCAGGCAAGGAGACACCACAGAGGACAUACUCAUUCUCACCGGGCACCUGAGGCACAGGAGUAGAAAUCUCCUUAGCAGCAGCACUAAUUCAGAAAUCUCUUCAAGGGCAUUUGUCAGCGGGGCAAACGUGGGAAUGCAGUGAAAGCACACCCUCACCAGACAGGAAUAACAGGACUAAGAAAUUUCACAACUGGCAAUAACAAUAGUAAAGGUACAGAGGUCAGCACACGACUAAGAAAUCUUUGGGAUCUUGAUGAGGGGGAAGAGAAAGAGGAGGAGACUGGAAAUAGUGGAAUGUCAGCCUAUAAAUGUUUGGAAAGUUGCCUGCUAUGGACGUAGGCCAUCAGGUUCAUCAGAGAGCACAGCCCCAACUAACGCAGUACUAGGGUACUCAGAACACAGAGGCUGAAGAGGAGCACAGAGACCAUUCAAAGUUUACAAACCAUGAGACGGAAAUGGACAAAGGGAAAGAAGUAGGCCUCAGGAAAUGCAAGAAUCCUAUUCGCCACCAUUGCACACAUCUGAAUUCCACACAAAGGACUGGGCUAUUUUAAAUUGCCACACUCAGAGAGAGCAGUUUGUGUAAUGUUGGAAUUCACUUCCCCAGAUGAGGGAUCUAAGAGUAUUAUGAUUAACUUCUUGAUAGAUUUCUCCCAAGUGAGCUUUGAACUUCCAGGUCACGACCUCUGGUCAACUAGCAGAGCUCAAACCAUGCAUCAUCUUCGCCGUUUUCUCUAUCUACCCCCGUCCCUCAAUUACACCAUGUCUUGGGUGAGUAACACCAAUAUGGGCCUAGAUUAUCUCUAUUGAAUUGGGAACAUCGUACUUGCUACUGUACAAGAAAAUUGGUGUUCACAUGGCAAACUGCUAGAAUAAUAACAGAUUUUACUCGGUUUUAAAUUUGUGGAUGUGAAGCUGGUUCUAAAGAUUAUUAAGUGCCCUGUUUAUCCUCCAGGGUUUGGAAAUAUAGAACACAACAAAGAUGUGAUUGGAAUAACCCAACUUGUAGCUGCUAAAGGAGGAUUACGAUCAGUCAGUGUGGACGGCAGCCUCUCCACUGUGAAUAAUGAGGGAAACUAGACCCCAAUCAGACACGUGAAGGACCCCCUGAGCGUAACUAAACAGAAGAAUUGGGGGCCAUAGAAUUGAGAUCUUGAACUUCCCUGAGGAAACAAGGAAUUGUCUAGAAAAUAAGAGGAGGUUUACCACUAAAUUUUAUAGGAUAGCAACAAAUCGGGGACAUAUUCUUACUAACAGUAUUUCUUACUAAAAGCAUUAUGCUAUUACCUGCCAUGUAAUACAUUCAUCUUAUCUAGUGAGCUUGGAAAGACAUGGAUGCGGGGAAAUUUCAAAUGAGAAGCAGAAGACUGAUGGCUUAUAAUGUGGCCUUGUAAUACAUUUAAUUAACAUGCUGUCCUGCUCCCUCACAGAGGCUUCUGGGAGCACCAACGAAGAGGCAUUCCUUCCUAAAGACAUUAAGGGACGACCUGCCCAUCUCAUUGGUCCACAGGAGACGCACAAGGAGGGCAGAUCCACGGUUGAAAGGAGCCCACGAAGCCCUCUGCAUCUGAAGAGCUGAGCUGAGGAGCCUCCUUCACAGCUGGACCCGAUUUAGAUGUUAAUAUCCUGGACUUCAAACCAACGCCUUAAUGGAAUUAGACUUUGGGGGAAGGUGUGAGCGUAUUUUACAUGUGGGAGAGAAGUGACUGUGGUAGAUUGUCUCCAAACAUGGCUUUCAUCAAUUCCUUCCCUCCCUGGACACGCACACCCUUCCUCUAUCAAGAGGUAAAUUCUACUUCCCUAUUCCUUGAAUCUGGGCUGGCCUAGGAACUCUGCAAAUCACAGAUACCAUUUAGGACCACGAUUUGCUGAAAGGCAACCCCUAUGUUCUCACUGCUCUUUAGUGGCUUUUGCCUGGAAAAAGAAGUAGCAUCCAUAACUAAGAGAUGCCCACGGGGUAUUCUUGGAGGACCACACGGAGAUAUAGGAUAAAUAACACCUGGACCAACUAUGUGACCUGGGAGACCUCAGAGCCAACCCUGCCUGCAAGUUUCCUGGCAGUCUUUACCUUGCUUGCAGUGGUGGUUUGCAGCUGCCGACCAGGAAGAUCUCCUUCCUCUCACUCACCUCCUCUAUCCUACAGUGAUGAUGAACGGCAGCCAUCCCUGGAAAGGCAUAUUCACAGCCGAGUGAACGCGCAGAGUGUCGUUACAGUGUCUCCUCUUCCCUACCUGUGUCACAUGGCCUCCUCCACUGCGGUCUCAAGGGCGUGUUUGGAGGAGAACCUGAGGUUUUACUCGGAGAUAAAAGGAAGUCUCUAUUUGGAUGGAUUAAGGAAUUGGAGCUUGGUGGUCCUAACCUCUGUCGGAGUCCCGUCUGUGUUUCCCUUGGAUGCACCACUGACCUAAUUCUGUCCUCAAAGUGACAAGAUACAUUCCAGCCCCAGUAUGUAGUUGUGUAUUCCAGUUGUGAGUCCUUC